rnacentral:rRNA from 1 species
AGUGAAAGAAAUAACAAUACAGGACUUUUUGGUUUUGUAAUUGGAAUGAGUUAAGUAUAAACCCCUUUACAAGUAUCAAUUGGGGGGCAAGUCUGGUGCCAGCAGCCGCGGUAAUUCCAGCUCCAUUGGCGUAUAUUAAAGUUGUUGCAGUUAAAAAGCUCGUAGUUGGAUUUCUGUUAAUAAUUUAUAUAAAAUAUUUUGAUGAAUAUUUAUAUAAUAUUAACAUAAUUCAUAUUACUAUUUUUUUUAGUAUAUGAAAUUUUACUUUGAGAAAAUUAGAGUGCUUAAAGCAGG